GUGCACACAAACUGCAGAGAGGGAUCAAACACACUGUGGCAUAUGCCUCCCUCUCAGACAGAAGAAGCAAGCAAUGCAUUAUGGGGCAGGGAGUUCCUUCAGAACCAGGAGAGGCAUUCAGGCAGGGCAGGCCUCAGUGUACCAUUCAAUCAUUUCUAACAGGACCUGUUGGCUGGGUAGCUAGGCUACAUUAAAUAUAGAUCCUGUGAAGAGACUUGGACCUGAGGAUCUGUGAGUUAAAGUCUGGGUGGUAUUCAUUGGGGCAUGAGCUUGAAAACGUUUUCCAACAAAAAGUGAAAAUGUACAUUUUAGGGCUGGGCGAUAUGACAAUGUAUAUCGUGUGACGAUAGACGUUUUUCUAUCGUUUCAUAUUGUGCUCUAGCCUUUAUUUCGUUGUGUCGCAAAUCACAUUCUUUACGGCAAUAUUUUUCGUCAAUUGGACGACGCUUUGCGUUCUUCCACACAAAUUUGUAACACAAACAAACAUGGAAGAGAGUCUACGUGACACAGAGCUCGUUCCUAAAAGAGAGGCAACUUCGGGCGCAUGGAUGUGGUUUGGGUAUGAAAAGUCUGACACGGACCAGAAAACCGUCCACUGCAAAAUAUGCCUCAGGCCGGUCCCGAGAACAGGCUGAAACGCCACUAACCUAUUUUACCACCUACGCAAGAAUCAUGUAAACCAGUACGGAGAGAGUCUACGGAUAAGACCCCAAAAAGUACAGACGAGUGCUCAAAACAAACCCUCGACUCAGACGUUGAAAGAGGCUUUUGCCCGCGGCACACCAUAUGGCAAAGAAUCACCAAGAUGGAAGGAGAUAACAGCUGCCGUUACAACUUACAUCUGCAAAGACACGGCCCCAAUUUACACGGUCGAGAAACGGGGGUUUCGUGAGUUGGUGCUAACACUCAACCCAAGGUGCCUAAUGAACAGGACCCUGGCUACGGGUCUGGGGCUGACAGAGGAGCUCUUACCAGCGUUGAGGAGGGAGGGGAUGGCUACGCAACGGACCAGGUCCUCCAGAAGAAGACACUGGCGGGCGAUGAGGAUGGCUACGAAGGUGGCCAGAGAGUCAUGGAAGGAGAGAUCGCUGACCUGAGACAGAAGAGAGAAUAAAUGUUCACAUUUGAUGUGAACUGCUAAUUAUUGGAAUGUAACUGUCAGUGUUCCCCUCUAACCCGUGCCUCUCAGAGCCUGAGUGAGCCAUGCACAUUAAUUGGUGCAGAGAGAGAGGCGCAAGGCUAUUGCAAGGUGUGUGUGUGUGCUGCGAGUGUGAACACUCACGUCCACGUUGCACAGGAGGUCGUUGAAGCCACAGUUGCCGUUGUUGGAGGAGCAGCAGAGGGCUUUGAGGACGCCCAGCCACUCAGCACUCAGAGAGCGACAGUAGGCAGUCAGCUCCGCACAUAGGAUCCCAAUGUCAUUCACCCUGCAAAGAUAGACAUUAAACUCGUAACACCUUACUAUUGAAUUAAGGUAAGAUGCGUAUACCUGGUGAGUUGACAAGAAUCAUGUAUUGUUUCAAUGCAUCUGGACGUAUCAACAAUCAAUUAUUGAUAAUGGUUUUAUAGAAAAACAAUGCUUGCCUCUCGGGGUCCCUGUGGUCCACGCACACGUCCAUGAGCACGUUGCAGACGAAGCUGUAGCGGUUGGCGGGGCUGUCAUUGAGGAUCUUACCCACCAUGCUGUGGUUGAAAUUGUGGGCCGACGGAUUGGCGAUGGCCUCCAUCAUGAACACAGGGUCCCACAGCAUGUUGGAGUCAGACGGGUCGAUGUUACAGUAUAUGGAGUUCUUCACCUUGGAGCAGAACUCACUGGACAAAAGAGGGAGAGAAAGGACACCGAUUGGUUCGCCUAUCAUUAUAUGGCUACCAUGUGGGGCAAAAUAUUUUACUUUCAACACAAUAUUAGCAUGUAACAUGACUUGGCCCCCUUAAACAUCACAGGGAAACUACAGUAUACAAUAAAACUGCAUUGAACAGUU